rnacentral:lncRNA from 10 species
CAGUCGAAAGAAUGAGGUGGCCUCAUGUAGGUGGAUCUCUAACAUAUAUUAGGUUGAAAAGCAGAGCAAGUGAAUGACAAGGUGCAGGAUAAUACGCAUAACAUGCUCACAUUUGAGUAAGAAAAUCCUAUUAAUGCGUGUGCUUGUGUAUGCGUGGAAGCGCUUCUGGAAGGACAUCGAAGAUGCUGGGGAGAGUGAUUGCCUCUGAGAAGAUAACUGGGAGGCUGGGGUGCCAGGAGGGAGGAAGAUGUGCUUCUCACAGUAUGUCCUUGGAUUGCUUACAUUACCAUGUUCAGUGCACAAUGUAUCAGAUCCUUCUUUCAUGCCCCCUCCCCUGUCCCCCGACAGCUGCAAGACAGGGAGGGAGUGAUGGCCUGAGCUAGUGAGACCUGAAACACAGGGCCUGACUGAUGGCCCCAAGGUGAGGGUGUGGGUGAGGACACACCCAGCGUGCCAGUGUCUGUUUUGUGCUGAUGAACAGAUUUGUCAUUGGCACUUUUGCAAAACUGCAAUGAAAUUCUGGCUCAGGGCACAAUCACCCAGCUGGGGCCCCGAGGCUUUUGGAAGUCACCCGUGGACAGCUUGUCAGCAAAUCUUUAUGGAGCAACAACUCUGUGCUAGGUGCUGAGUACACAGUGAUGAGCAAAACAUGCAAAGACCGUGCCCUCUUCAACUUGGAUGGCCAGUGGGGAUUAGGAAAACAAAUAAGUCAACAAACCCACAAUACCAUCAGUGUUGUGUUCAAGUAGGCUAUGCAGAGGGACAGGAGGGCCUGAGGGCUGCUUCAUACAGGGUGAGGAUGGAGGGGUUCUGAGGAGGGAUGCCCAGGCUGAGACCCAAAAGGUGAAAAUGAGCUGAUAGGGAGAGGUGGGUGGCAGCCAGGAGUGAGUAGAAUUACAGGUGGAGGGACCAUGUUGGGAGGCUCCACGGAGGACAGUCUGGAAGGACUGAAGGACAGCCAAUGUGGCCAAAGAGUAGUGAGUGUGAGAGAGGGGGAGCCAGGUGAGGUUGGUGGGGAGGCGGUAGGGACGCCACGCUCCUGCUGCCCUGACUGUGGGGCACAGGGUGGCAGUCAGGCCUGUGGGUCACCCACCUUCUCAGGGGCUGGCAUUUGCCUUUUCUUGCCUUGCCCUUUCAGUUGGAUGCAACCACUCCAUGACUCCAGUGGAGGAUGAGACCCUGGGAUCAGUUCCUGCCCUGGCCACAGGCUUUGCUCACCCUAUGUUCUAAUGAUCAGUAUUUCUGCAGUAACAUCUUGCAGAAAUAGUUUUAGUUCACCCAUGCUGAGGUGGAGGCAGGGAAAACCAGGACUGAGUUGAAAAUGCUCCAGGUUUCAUGUGCCUUUUCCGUGUUCUAGGUGAUCAAGAUUUCUGCAAUAGUAUCCUGCAGAAUUAGGUGGUGUGGACAAGGGGGCUUCAGGGUGCAUCAGGCAACAUUAUGUUUGGCUGCAUGGGACAGAAAAUGCCAGAUCAUGUAGCUUUAAGAAGAUAGAGUUUUAUUUUUUGUAGAUAAACAAAGUUUGGAGGUAAAUCUAGACCCUUGAAUUAGUCCUAGAUCAUCCAUAAGAAGCUACCACAUGGCCCAAGAUGGCUGCUCAAAUGCCAGCAGUUGCAUCUACAUUUCAGACAGGAGGAGGAAUGUGUGGGGAAGAGAAGGGCACACUUCUGUUUAAGGUCCCUUCAUGGAAAUCGUAUAUGAUUUACUUCUGCCUGUAUUUCAUUGUCCAGAAUUUAUCCCAGGGCUGCCCCUAGCUGCAGGAAGAGCUGGGAAAGGUAGUUUUUAUUCUGGGUGGCGAUGUGCCAAGCUAAAGACAUCAGGGGUUCCAUGUUAAAGGAGGAAGAGGGAAAUGAAGAAUGCCAGACACAGCAUUUUCUGCCACAUAUGAUCAAAUAAAUUUGAGAAAUACUUGGUUAAACAAAAUGAAAUAGGCUUCUUCACUGCAGAAUGUCUCAACCUUUAGUGCGCUCAUGGACAUUGCUAAUCUGUAAAAGAGGCUGUAGUAGUAUGUAGCCUUUCCAAAAUGUAUUAAAUGAUAGAAUUGGUGUGUGUGUGUGAAGCACCUUACGGAAUUGGUGUUCUGCAGAGGCUAUUCAGGUAAACGUAGUCCUUGAUUAUAGAGUUCAAAAAUAACCAAGCUAGGCAACAUGCUUUCAUUUUAAAGACUAAAUGCCAUUCCUUCAAUCAGCCUAGACCACCUACCCUGGAAACGACAGGCCCUGGGCCAAGUGCUGGGAUAUAUGGCUGAGUCAUGAUUCCUGCUCUCAAUAAGUUCAAAGUCAAGAGAGACACAUUCUCAGCAAAAUAAUGACAAGAAAUGCCAGAAUAGAACCUGGACUGGAAGAAUGUGACAUUGGCCUGCAGAAUCAGGUGGCUGGGGUGGAGGCUGUGGACAGCAUAGAGUGGGGUGGGCGGAAAAGGGUUGGUGCAAGGCAGUGAGUCUGGAGGGGUGAGUGCAGCCAGUGGUGAAAAGCCUCAAGUGCUGUGCCAAGGAUGUGUGCCUUCUCGUUGUGGCACCUGGAAGGAGACUGCGGGGUGCAGAAGGGCCAUGUACCAGGGAGUGGAUCGUGAUCUUUCCUCCUCCCUGGCUCCCAGCCUGCUGCCCGUAUGAAGGGCUUCUUCCUGUCCCGACACAAGACAGUGAAUUGGUCACCAGAACACAUAGCCCUCCUCCCGUUGCAAAGCUCUGUCAUCUCCUUUCUCUUACAUUGUCACAAGAAGCCUUAGAAGUGGAGCAGGCCGGGCGUGGUGGCUCAUGUCUGUAAUCGCAGCACUUUGGGAGGCCGAGGCAGGUGGAUCACCUGAGGUCAGGAGUUUGAGACUAGCCUGGCCGACAUGGUGAAACCCUGGCUCUACUAACAAUACAAAAUUAGCUGGGCGUGGUGGCAGGCACCUGUAAUUCCAGCUACUCAGGAGGUUGAGGCAGGAGAAUCGCUUGAACCUGGGAGGCGGAGGUUGCAGUGAGCCGAGAUCGUGCUAUUGCACUCCAGCCUGGGAGACAGAGUGAGACUCUGUCUCAAAAAAAAAAAAAAAAAGAGCAGAGAGGGCUGCCCUUCCCUCACUUUACAAAGAGGCAGGGACAGCUCCAGCAUCCUGCCACCUGCAAGUGGCAGAGGUAAAGGGGAGGGAUUUCACACCUUGGUCGGGUGUGCGGAGAGAGGAGGCUGAGAGAAGUUCCUCUGAGGCGGGUCUGAGCUCCAUGCGAUGCCUCUUCCUGCUAGCAAAGGCUCCCCUUGGAGGCUGCUCCACCAGGUCUCUGCCUUCAUCUUCUUGUGUGUCUGUCUUCAAAUUUCUGCUUUUUAUAAGGACACGAGUUGUAUCAGAUUGGGGUCCACCCUCUUCCACUGUGACCUCAUCUUAACGAAUUACCUCUGUUAUGCUUCUGCUUCCAAAUAAGGCCACAUGCUUAGGUACUACAGGUUAGGAUUUGAACAUCUGAAUUUUGGGGUGGACUCAAUUUAGCUCAUAACAGAGGCCCAUCAGAAAUCUCGCCUCCUCCAGGAAGCCUUCUGCACUCAAAACCAGGCAAUCCCCCUUUCUGGAACUCCCAUAGCACAUAAUGUCUGAGGAACUCAGUGGCCCAGGGCCACUUGGGUAUUUAUAUUCUGUCUCUCUGAGGCUGGACUUAACUCUGGGUCGAUGGCAUUUAUAGUUUUUGAAAACAAGUGCAGCACAGCGGAAGCCCUUUUAUCUGAUGUUAUUAGGACUGGUAGUUGGGUAGUAAACUGAAAAUCCAAAAGGAAUGCCAGAAAGCAGCAUGGCUCAACAUGCGGUAGGCGGAAGAUUGAUGCAGGAGUAGAGAGCAAAGGUUAACCACUGUGUUAGUGAAAUCGACGUUGGCUGGGAGAGAUUCUCCUGCACAAAAACAAACAGCAGCCACCAAAGCCCAAGAUGGAUGAAAUCUGGAUGCGAAGUUAUCCAGCUUCCCAUUGAGAGUGGAUUUCCUUUUAAAGAAACCAUCAAUACUCUGUGUCAUUUAAGACUCCUAUCUGGUUUGGGUGUCAAGGGAAGUGGCCAUACAAGCUGUUUGGGACUUUAAAAGUGGAAUGGAAUCCAGGACACAGUGAGGGUCCCCUACAGAACCUGAAUGAUUUUGUUUUUGUUUUUUGAGAUGGAGUCUUGCUCUGUUGCCCAGGCUGGAGUGCAGUGGCACGAUCUUGGCCCACUGCAACCUCCGCCUCCCGGGUUCAAGCGAUUCUCCUGCCUCAGCCUCCCGAAUAGCUGGGAUUACAUGUGUGUGCCACCAUGUCUGGCUAAUUUUUGUAUUUUUAGUAGAGACUGGGUUUCACCAUGUUGGCCAAGCUGGUCUCAAACUCCUGACCUCAGGUGAUCUGCCCGCCUUGGCCUCCCAAAGUACUGGGAUUACAGGUGUGAGCCACUGCACCUGGCUGGGAACCUGAAUAAUUUUGGAAAAUAAAGUUGUCUUUUGAGAGUUAAACUAUAAAACAAACAUAAUAGGCCCAAAGCAGGGAGUGGCAAAGACUUUGUUUCACCUGCUUCACAGUGUCAACAUAGCCCCAAAAGAUUGGCCAUCAGAACUGUGUGUGUGUGUGUGUGUGCAAGUGUGUGUGAAUGUAUGUAUGUGUGUUGUGUAUGGCAGUGUAUGCAUGUGAGUGUGAGUGUGAGCAUGUCUGUGGGCAUGUGGGCUUGUGUAAUGUGUAUGAUCAUGUGCAUGUGUGUGUGAGUGGGUGUGGAUGUGUGGACAGCCAGGGAGGCCAAGGAGAGGGAGAGCAUACUGCCUUUGCCUAGAAAGGUGUAGCAAAGCCAGGCAGUGUGUCCCUGGCUUUCCCCAGGGGAAGAGGGGGACACUGGGCCAGAAACUUGAGCUCCUGGCCUCUGCUGAAUCUCUGUGCAUUCAAGGGGAGAUAUGUGCAUGAAGUCAUUGCAGUGUGACGCCUCUGUACUCAUCAGAUCACCCACGUCAUCUAAUGCACUCCCAUCACAUUCCAGACUCAGUGCUGCCAUCAGCUCCCUAGGAGCUCUCCCUCCAGGAAGGGAAUGUGUCCACCGUCAGACACUCAGACCCAGCAUGUGGGGACAGAGGCUGAUGGCCUGUCUGGCCAUUCCUCUCAGUUCCUCUCCUCACUAGCUUGUGUCCUUGUGCAAGUCACUUACCCUCUCUGAGGUUCAGUUCCCUCCUCUUUGAAGUGGGUUUAAUAAUAGUACCUGCCACAUAGGUUGUGAAGAUUGAUGAGAUUAACCAUAUAAUGUGCUUAGCACAAUGCCUAAUGUAUGGCAAGCCUUCCAAAAGUAUACGCUACCAUCAUAAUGAUCAAUAUGAUAAUAAAUCAAAACAUCCGUAUUGUUUUUCAUAUGUG